rnacentral:rRNA from 1 species
UGGACAUGGGCGCAGCCUGAUCCAGCCAUGCCGCGUGUGUGAUGAAGGCCUUAGGGUCGUAAAGCACUUUCGCCAGAGAUGAUAAUGACAGUAUCUGGUAAAGAAACCCCGGCUAACUCCGUGCCAGCAGCCGCGGUAAUACGGAGGGGGUUAGCGUUGUUCGGAAUUACUGGGCGUAAAGCGCACGUAGGCGGACUAGUCAGUCAGAGGUGAAAUCCCAGGGCUCAACCCUGGAACUGCCUUUGAUACUGCUAGUCUUGAGUUCGAGAGAGGUGAGUGGAAUUCCGAGUGUAGAGGUGAAAUUCGUAGAUAUUCGGAGGAACACCAGUGGCGAAGGCGGCUCACUGGCUCGAUACUGACGCUGAGGUGCGAAAGUGUGGGGAGCAAACAGGAUUAGAUACCCUGGUAGUCCACACCGUAAACGAUGAAUGCCAGUCGUCGGGCAGAUACUGUUCGGUGACACACCUAACGGAUUAAGCAUUCCGCCUGGGGAGUAC